CCUACGGGGCGCUGCAGUGGGGAAUAUUGGACAAUGGGCGAAAGCCUGAUCCAGCCAUGCCGCGUGUGUGAAGAAGGCCUUCGGGUUGUAAAGCACUUUCAGUGGGGAAGAAAGCCUUGGGGCUAAUACCCUCGAGGAAGGACAUCACCCACAGAAGAAGCACCGGCUAACUCCGUGCCAGCAGCCGCGGUAAUACGGAGGGUGCGAGCGUUAAUCGGAAUUACUGGGCGUAAAGCGCGCGUAGGCGGUCUGAUAAGCCGGUUGUGAAAGCCCCGGGCUCAACCUGGGAAUGGCAUCCGGAACUGUCAGGCUAGAGUGCAGGAGAGGAAGGUAGAAUUCCCGGUGUAGCGGUGAAAUGCGUAGAGAUCGGGAGGAAUACCAGUGGCGAAGGCGGCCUUCUGGACUGACACUGACGCUGAGGUGCGAAAGCGUGGGUAGCAAACAGGAUUAGAUACCCCAGUAGUC
rnacentral:rRNA from 1 species